AACGAACGCUGGCGGCGCGCCUAAUACAUGCAAGUCGAGCGAGAAGACGUAGCAAUACGUUUGUAAAGCGGCGAACGGGUGAGGAAUACAUGGGUAACCUACCCUCGAGUGGGGAAUAACUAGCCGAAAGGUUAGCUAAUACCGCGUACGCUCCUUGGACUUCGGUUCAGGGAGGAAAGCGAUACCGUGGGUAUCGCGCUCUUGGAUGGGCUCAUGUCCUAUCAGCUUGUUGGUGAGGUAACGGCUCACCAAGGCUUCGACGGGUAGCUGGUCUGAGAGGACGAUCAGCCACACUGGCACUGCGACACGGGCCAGACUCCUACGGAGGCAGCAGUAAGGAAUAUUGCGCAAUGGGCGAAAGCCUGACGCAGCGACGCCGCGUGGGGGAGUGAA
rnacentral:rRNA from 1 species